AGGGUUCGAUUCUGGCUCAGGAUGAAACGCUAGCUACAGGCUUAACACAUGCAAGUCAGGGGCAGCAGAUUGAAAGCUUGCUUUGAUGCUGGCGACCGGCGCACGGGUGAGUAACGCGUAUCCAACCUUCCCUAUAGUAGAGAAUAGCCCGGCGAAAGUCGGAUUAAUGCUCUAUGUUGUAUUUAGAGGACAUCUGAAGAAUACCAAAGGUUUACCGCUAUAGGAUGGGGAUGCGUCUGAUUAGGUAGUAGGCGGGGUAACGGCCCACCUAGCCGACGAUCAGUAGGGGUUCUGAGAGGAAGGUCCCCCACAUUGGAACUGAGACACGGUCCAAACUCCUACGGGAGGCAGCAGUGAGGAAUAUUGGUCAAUGGACGGAAGUCUGAACCAGCCAAGUUAACGCGUGCAGGAUGACGGCCCUAUGGGUUGUAAACUGCUUUUAUAUAGGGAUAAAGUCGGGGACGUGUCCCCGUUUGUAGGUACUAUAUGAAUAAGGACCGGCUAAUUCCGUGCCAGCCGCAGC
rnacentral:rRNA from 1 species